UACUCGAGUGGCGAACGGGUGAGUAACACGUGGGUGACCUGCCCUGCACUUCGGGAUAAGCCUGGGAAACUGGGUCUAAUACCGGAUAGGAGCAAUUUUUAGUGUGAUGGUUGGAAAGUUUUUUCGGUGUAGGAUGAGCUCGCGGCCUAUCAGCUUGUUGGUGGGGUAAUGGCCUACCAAGGCGGCGACGGGUAGCCGGCCUGAGAAGGUGGACGGCCACAUUGGGACUGAGAUACGGCCCAG
rnacentral:rRNA from 1 species